rnacentral:rRNA from 1 species
UGGGGAAUUUUGGACAAUGGGCGCAAGCCUGAUCCAGCAAUGCCGCGUGCAGGAUGAAGGCCUUCGGGUUGUAAACUGCUUUUGUACGGAGCGAAAAGGUCUGCCCUAAUACGGUGGGCUCAUGACGGUACCGUAAGAGUAAGCACCGGCUAACUACGUGCCAGCAGCCGCGGUAAUACGUAGGGUGCGAGCGUUAAUCGGAAUUACUGGGCGUAAAGCGUGCGCAGGCGGUUUUGUAAGACAGAGGUGAAAUCCCCGGGCUCAACCUGGGAAUUGCCUUUGUGACUGCAAGGCUUGAGUGCGGCAGAGGGGGAUGGAAUUCCGCGUGUAGCAGUGAAAUGCGUAGAUAUGCGGAGGAACACCGAUGGCGAAGGCAAUCCCCUGGACCUGUACUGACGCUCAUGCACGAAAGCGUGGGGAGCAAACA